AGUCGAACGAUAUUUUCCAGCUUGCUGGGAGAAAAAGUGGCGCACGGGUGCGUAACGCGUAUGCAACCUACCUUAAUCAGGGGGAUAGCCCGAAGAAAUUCGGAUUAACACCGCAUAAAAUCACAGCACAGCAUUGUGCAAUGAUCAAAUAUUUAUAGGAUUAAGAUGGGCAUGCGUGACAUUAGUUAGUUGGCGGGGUAACGGCCCACCAAGACCACGAUGUCUAGGGGAUCUGAGAGGAUGACCCCCCACACUGGUACUGAGACACGGACCAGACUCCUACGGGAGGCAGCAGUAAGGAAUAUUGGUCAAUGGAGGCAACUCUGAACCAGCCAUGCCGCGUGCAGGAAGACAGCCCUCUGGGUCGUAAACUGCUUUUAUUCGGGAAUAAACCUCAUUACGUGUAGUGAGCUGAAUGUACCGAAGGAAUAAGGAUCGGCUAACUCCGUGCCAGCAGCCGCGGUAAUACGGAGGAUCCAAGCGUUAUCCGGAUUUAUUGGGUUUAAAGGGUGCGUAGGCGGCUUUUUAAGUCAGGGGUGAAAGACGGUAGCUCAACUAUCGCAGUGCCCUUGAUACUGAAGAGCUUGAAUGGACUAGAGGUAGGCGGAAUGUGACAAGUAGCGGUGAAAUGCAUAGAUAUGUCACAGAACACCGAUUGCGAAGGCAGCUUACUAUGGUUUUAUUGACGCUGAGGCACGAAAGCGUGGGGAUCAAACAGGAUUAGAUACCCUGGUAGUCCACGCCCUAAACGAUGAAUACUCGCUGUUAGCGAUACACAGUUAGCGGCUAAGCGAAAGCGUUAAGUAUUCCACCUGGGGAGUACGGUCGCAAGAUUGAAACUCAA
rnacentral:rRNA from 1 species